rnacentral:rRNA from 1 species
GACAUCCAAAAUACCCUGAAGGCACCAAAUCCUGUCUGAUCUUAGAAGCUAAGCAUGGACAGGUCAUAUUAAUGCCAGGAUGGGGGAUUGCCAAGGAAUAUCAGGUGCAAUAGGCU